GAUGAACGCUGGCGGCGUGCUUAACACAUGCAAGUCGAACGGAAAGGCCACAGCUUGCUGUGGUACUCGAGUGGCGAACGGGUGAGUAACACGUGGGUGAUCUGCCCUGUACUUCGGGAUAAGCUUGGGAAACUGGGUCUAAUACCGGAUAGGAAUCACAUGUGGGUGUGUGGUUGGAAAGCUUUUGCGGUAUGGGAUGAGCUCGCGGCCUAUCAGCUUGUUGGUGGGGUAAUGGCCUACCAAGGCGUCGACGGGUAGUCGGCCUGAGAGGGUGUACGGCCACAUUGGGACUGAGAUACGGCCCAGACUCCUACGGGAGGCAGCAGUGGGGAAUAUUGCACAAUGGGCGCAAGCCUGAUGCAGCGACGCCGCGUGGGGGAUGACGGCCUUCGGGUUGUAAACUCCUUUCGUCAGGGACGAAGCGAAAGUGACGGUACCUGGAGAAGAAGCACCGGCUAACUACGUG
rnacentral:rRNA from 1 species